UACGAGGGGGGCAAGCGUUGUUCGGAUUUAUUGGGCGUAAAGGGUGCGUAGGCGGUUUGGCAAGUCUUAUGUGAAAUCUAUGGGCUCAACCCAUAGUCUGCAUGAGAAACUGCCGGGCUUGAGUAUGGGAGAGGUGAGUGGAAUUUCCGGUGUAGCGGUGAUAUGCGUAGAUAUCAGGAGGAACACCGGUGGUGUAAACGGCUUUCUGGACCAUAACUGACGCUGAUGCACGAAAGCGUGGGUAGCAAACAGG
rnacentral:rRNA from 1 species